UAGAAAAUAAUAUAAGGGGAGUAUGGAGAGUUUUGAUUUCUCUCGUGUAGGUUCGAGUCCUACUUUUCUAA
rnacentral:tRNA from 1 species